UGGAGCGAAAUAGGACAAUGAUC
rnacentral:siRNA from 1 species